GCGGGAAUAGCUCAGUAGGCAGAGCGUUGGCUUCCCAAGCCGAAGGCCGCGGGUUCAAACCCCGUUUCCCGCU
rnacentral:tRNA from 1 species